rnacentral:rRNA from 1 species
ACGGAGGGUGCAAGCGUUACUCGGAAUCACUGGGCGUAAAGAGCGUGUAGGCGGAUAUAUAAGUGAGAGGUGAAAUCCAAUAGCUUAACUAUUGAAAUGCUUUUGAAACUGGAUAACUAGAAUGAAGGAGAGGAAGAUGGAAUUUCUGGUGUAGGGGUGAAAUGCGUAGAUAUUAGAAGGAACACCGAUGGCGAAGGCGACAUACUGGACUAUAACUGACACUGAGGCGCGAAAGCGUGGGGAGCAAACAG